rnacentral:rRNA from 1 species
UACGUAGGGGGCUAGCGUUGUCCGGAAUCAUUGGGCGUAAAGAGCGUGUAGGCGGUUCGAUAAGUCUGCUGUGAAAGUCCAGGGCUCAACCCUGGGAUGCCGGUGGAUACUGUCGGGCUAGAGUACGGAAGAGGCGAGUGGAAUUCCCGGUGUAGCGGUGAAAUGCGCAGAUAUCGGGAGGAACACCAAUUGCGAAGGCAGCUCGCUGGGACGUCACUGACGCUGAGACGCGAAAGCGUGGGGAGCAAACAGG